rnacentral:rRNA from 1 species
AACGAACGCUGGCGGCAGGCCUAACACAUGCAAGUCGAGCGAAGCCUUCGGGCUUAGCGGCGGACGGGUGAGUAACACGUGGGAACGUGCCCUUUGGUACGGAAUAGCCCCGGGAAACUGGGAGUAAUACCGUAUGUGGUCGAGAGACGAAAGAUUUAUCGCCAAAGGAUCGGCCCGCGUUGGAUUAGGUAGUUGGUGGGGUAAUGGCCUACCAAGCCGACGAUCCAUAGCUGGUUUGAGAGGAUGAUCAGCCACACUGGGACUGAGACACGGCCCAGACUCCUACGGGAGGCAGCAGUGGGGAAUCUUAGGCAAUGGGGGAAACCCUGAUCUAGCCAUGCCGCGUGAUCGAUGAAGGCCUUAGGGUUGUAAAGAUCUUUCAGUGGGGAAGAUAAUGACUGUACCCACAGAAGAAGCCCCGGCUAACUCCGUGCCAGCAGCCGCCGCGGUAA